GCCUCCUUUGACCAAAGCCACGCCCAUUGUGGGCGUGACCAAACAACACCCCGCCCCCUCGUUUAGAGACAGCGCGGAAAAGGGGGUGUGGUUACGCCGAGCCCCGCCCCCAAGGUGGGCGUGGCUACCCCAAAUCCCGCCUCCAUCGCAGCGCGCUGUACUCGGGAGCGCCCCCUGGCGGCGCGGCGCACAGCAGCAGCGAUUUCCGAGCGGCCGUUCCGAGACGCGCGGCGCUCAGCAGCGCCCCCAGCGGUAACGGAGUGGAACUGCGCGGGCACAGCGCGACGGCGGCGGCGUGGAACAGCGGGGGGGGCCCCGGAUACACCAGGAAGUCGCCCCCGAAUUUGCCGCCGGCGUGAGGUGCAGCCCCCGCCCCCACAGGUCGCGGUACACCCGGAAACGGCGCUCCCGGUGCGCUUCCGCUUCCGGUCCCUCUGCCUCCACCUCCGGUCUGUCAGACCUCACUUCCGGUCCCUCCGUUCCAACCUCCGGCCUCUCCGUUUCCGGUCCUUUACCUUCAACUUCCGGUCUCUCGGCUUCCAGUCCCUCGGGUUUCACUUCCGGUUCUUCAGUAUCAGCUUCCUCCGCGUCCGUCAUUCCCGCGUCCCGAGCGGCGCUGCGGUGGGCGGAGCUUCUCG
rnacentral:lncRNA from 1 species